AUGUAUGUAUGUAUAUAUAGGUUAAGAAUGAAAAAAAAAAAAAACGAGAGAGAAAAAAUGUGCAGGGUUCAACGGUCCAACAUGACGAAAUGACCGGAAAAAA